rnacentral:lncRNA from 1 species
UCUAUUUGGAAACAGUCUCUCUACCCCAGUGUAGGGAUAAGGUCAGCGUACAUACUACCCUCCCAGGGAUAAAGUCAGCGUAUAUUCUAUCCUCCCCAUACCCCACUAGGUGGGAUUAUACUUUGUUGUUGUUGUUGUUAGAGCAGUACAUUACAAGUAUUUCGUAAUGGCAUAGUCCGAAUGACCUUAAUUUGCUGAUAAUAUAAAUUAUUCUAUAGAUGCUUUAAAAACUUUUUAGAAAACUAAACGUGCUAGCCUUUUACUUUACGAAUCUUAUAAAUUAGUUGUGGUUGCCCAUCCAGUGCCAGGGAGCCAUUUUCCUUUUCUUGUUUUUGGGUCACUUCUAUUGUACGUAAUUUAUUAUUCGUCAGGGACAUUGUUCCCCCAAUCCAGCAUAUCCUUACUUGAUUCGCCAGGACAAUCUUAUUCUCAGUGCCAUCAUCUCGUUGAUCAAACCGACGAUCAUCUCCUUUAUUGCCGCUGCGGAAACCUUUAAGGAGGCCUGGGACAUCCUCGCGCGCACAUACGACACUGCUGAUCAGCUUGCUGAUGCUCUCACAAAGCACAGAAACCUCUAAGGAGGCAUGGGACAUCCUCGCGCGCACAUACGACACUGCUGAUCAACUUGCUGAUGUUCUCACAAAGCACUUAUCACGUCCUUGGCUUCUUCUGCUGAUGUCCAAGAUUGGCGUGUCCUCCGGUCCUCCAUCUUGAGAGGGCGUAUUAGAAUAUAAUUUGUGUAUCUUUUUAUUAUUGGUAGAAUAUUCUCUCAUUAUUGUACAGUCCUACAGUUGGUAGGAUUUGGUUUCCUAUAGUUGGUAGGAUUUGGUUUCCUUGUACUCUAUAUAUACUUUUGUGAGCAAUACAAGAAUUAACACUUCUCCCAAAACUCUCUACA